rnacentral:rRNA from 1 species
CCUACGGGGGGCUGCAGUAGGGAAUUUUCGGCAAUGGGGGAAACCCUGACCGAGCAACGCCGCGUGAACGACGAAGUACUUCGGUAUGUAAAGUUCUUUUAAGAGGGAAGAAUGGCCCGUGGAAAAGCGGGCGUGACGGUACCUUUUGAAUAAGCCCCGGCUAACUAUGUGCCAGCAGCCGCGGUAAUACAUAGGGGGCAAGCGUUAUCCGGAAUUAUUGGGCGUAAAGGGUGCGUAGGUGGCCAUUUAAGUCUUUGGUGUAAGUUCAGCGCUCAACGCUGUGAUGCUAAAGAAACUGGGAGGCUUGAGUGUGGUAGAGGCAAGUGGAAUUCCAUGUGUAGCGGUAAAAUGCGUAAAUAUAUGGAGGAACACCGGUGGCGAAGGCGGCUUGCUGGGCCACAACUGACACUGAGGCACGAAAGCGUGGGGAGCAAACAGGCUUAGAUACCCCAGUAGUC